AUACGUUUUAUCACUUAAUUGAUCAUAUAAAUCUGGUCAUUUGGUCAAACGUGAGUAUCGAUUUUUAACAAAGCAACAUCUAAAAUAUUGUGAAUAAAAGUGAAAAUGAUAUUUAAACAGAUAUUCAUUCAAGGCAGUUAUACAAACUACACAAACAGUCAGAAAAGGUUCUGUGGCUUUAUUAUUAUUACAGUGUGGAAUUUAAGAAACUAAAUUCCUUUUCAUACAAAAUUUGGGUUUGAAUGGAUUAACAAGUAGCUACAUGGUUCAAAACCACAGCUAAUCAAUCUAUGAGAACAAUAAUAGAACCAAAAUAUUAAGAACCAAAGUAAUGUUAAUGUGUCAUCAUGUGUGCUGAUGCGGCCCCAGUGAGUAUUUACAGGUCUGGGCCGAGUGUACGUUACAUUUGGCAUCUGGAGAGUCGGCAAAAGGAGCUCGGACCAGCUCCCAUAUGUGCUCGGGCCCAUGCAUGCAGGCUGCUGAUUAUGGAUACAUCUCAAAUGGCUUCCUGCUCCCUGCGUAGUGCACUAUGUAGGUCUUGAAAUAACGGCUCCUGAAACCAAACAGGGCAUAAUAUGUCUAACAAAGAGCGCAUGGAUUCAGUCCGGUGUGAAUUCCCUGGACAGCUAUUUAGAUGAAGAAGUCAGAGUUUCUUAAAUGACGUAGUGCACUAACUAUAUAGGGAGUAAGAUCCCAUUUGAGACUCAGCCUGUCUCGGCAAUAUCGCAGUAAGUCCACUAUUUACAGUGUUUAUUUAUUAAGAAACAAACACUGCAAUGUUGUAUUUUAUUGUAAUUAAAUGUGGUAAAUUAAGGAUUUCUAUUUGGAAAAGCUUCAUUUAUUCACUGCUUACACUAAAAUAUCACUGAUGACGUGUCAAUUGGCGCGAAAACGUAGAUGUGAGUUAUAUAAGAGCCCACCUUCCCUGGACUUCUCCCUUUCCAGCUGGACUUCAGCAGAGGCUGCUUCGCUUCCAGCUGGAAAACGCAGAGUGGGGACAGUCCACCAUGGCAGAGGAAGCGCUCCGUAACGCAGCAGCAGGUUCUCUCCCAGAACCUGAUGACUCUGCUUUGGCCCAUUUCCUACAGAGCCUGACUGAUCGGCAACUACAAGUCAUACUUGGUGGGAUGCAUCAAAUGUUUACAAGGGAUGAAAUCACCAUAAUGAACAUGGCCAUUGAGAAGAUCGUGACCACAGUAUCACAGAAGGUCAUCAUUCCAACAACUUGUGAAGCCAAAGAACUCAAGAGUGCGUCAGAUUUGUCUUGCCCUCCAAAGAUGUGCGUCAGAGAUUUUGCUGAAUGUUUAUUAUCAGAGCUGGGUGACACGACAACGUCCUCUCAGAGUUCAUCCUAGCGACAGAGACUGCGAGCGACAGAGAGCAGCGUACCUUCGAACUUCAGAUCGAUACUUCCUCAGCCCAUCCACCAUGGCGUCCAAGAACGAGCCCUCCAGACCCUGAGCUCAGAGUGGGCCCAGCUGGACCGGCAGAUCACUGCCCUCCUAAAUAAACAGGAUGAGCUCCUUCAGCGGAAUUCGAUGCUUGAAGCCGCCCGGGAAGUUUCCCCCUCUGUGAUUGUUCCAGCCUCGUCUUUCCGCAUGCCGGGAGACGCCAUUCUCACGCCAGCCCCACAUGGACCCUGGGAACGCCAGCGCCACAGAGGGCCUUGCAGACCAGCUGAUCUUCACCUCCUGCAACCGUUUCGCCGCCCUCAGUUCACCGCCUACACCCUCACCUACGUCUCGGGCCUCCUGGCCGCCUGCCCCAGCGCCUCGUCCCUCAACACAGGACUCUUUACGUUAUCGGUAGUUCUGUUGUCCGCCACAUAAAAGUAAAGGUUAAAAAUACCCAUGCCACUGUCUCUUGUCUUCCAGGUGCACGUGUUGUAGACAUAGCCAAGCGUCUCCCCUCGGCUCUCAGCAGACGCAACGCCUUCGGGGCCGUGGUUAUCCAUGUCGGGACCAACGACAUCCUCGACCGACGUAGUGAGGUCCUGAAGGAGCACUAGGAUCGUCAUUUCCGGACCGCUUCCCACGUACAGGAGGGGAUCCGAGCGCUUCAGCAGGCUCUUCGCGCUGCAGUCCUGGCUCCGCUGUUGGUGCGCCUUCAACGGCUUGGGCUACUUGGACGACUGGGCCUCGGAACAUCGAGAGGGCCAUCCACUGACUACACAGCGAAGGCCACCUCCUCAACCAGCUUCAACCAACGCUAACGGCAUUCCAAGUCUGGUGAUGCCCUUCAGAGUCACUCCUGAGAGUUUUGAGAUCUCAAGACCCCCAUCUGAGGUGUUUGCUGACAAAAUGGAUCUGUUCUCCAAAGUAAUGCUGAAGAGACACCAGAAAGUGACUCACACAGCUCUGAAGAACUCAAUAUAUCUCCAAUCAUUUCCAUGGAUGCUCUCCAUUGUUGCGUACAUGCAAUAUUACACAGUGUACAGGAGAUUUCAUCCACUGGGGUCCAUGGAUCUCCUCUCUUAAUUGAUGAGGACCAGGUCCAGAAUGUUAUGGGCAUGGUCAAAGGAAUUGUAGCCCUUUUCACUGCUGUCACAGUGGAAGAUGGAGAGCAUGCUCUCCAAAAACUUCACCGCUCCAUCAUUGAAGCUGUGUAUGCAGAGCUUCUUCAGAAAAUGAGAUCUGAAAAUCAGCUCAUUGAAGAGUAAAAGCCCAGAGUGAGCUGUUGGCAGGAUCUCUGGCUGUUUCUAUCGUCAGGGCAAUUAAGAGUGCAGACCCUAAAGACUUGUACCGUCCUGCAUCGGUUGAGUCUGGUUCCUCUCCCACUAUCAAAGAGGAACCUUUGGUCUCCAGCCAGACCAUUGACAAUGUUUUGUUAUCAGGCCAUGUCUCAAGCAGAGGAGAACAUAAAUUUGAAGCUCAAGAACAUCUUCAAUCUCAAGAUGCCAAAGCUCAGCAUCUUCAAAUAGAAAUCCAGAAAGGACGAUAACGCUGGUCAAUCUUCAGAUCAGGACCAUUUGCAGAGUCGCUGCACUGCUGAUAUGAGUGGAUCCAACAGUGUGCCUUCAAAAAAGGAGAAGCCUAGGAGAGCGUCCAUUUGUUCCAGGAUGUUCUGCUGGUUUAGGAAAAUCAGCUGCCUUGGGUCCCUUUAAGCUCAUUCAUUUCCAUUAACCUCUUCAUAAUCUCUCUUCGUGCUCCCGUCAGGCUGAAUCCUGCCAGAACACAAAAUCACCUAUCACGGUUCUCCUGACGACACCCAGGUUUACUUCACUCUCUCUCAAAAGACUGUGGUCCCAUAGAUACUUUGUGUCGGUGCUCAGAGCAAAUCCAGUCGACCAGAGGAGGAUGGGUUCCCCUUUUGAGUCUUGGUUCCUCUCAAGGUUUCUCCCUCUUGCUCUUAGGGAGUUUUUCCUUGCCACCGUCGCCCUCGGCUUGCUCAUCAGGGGCUCGGACCUGGAUUUUCUCUGAACCUGCUUUGUGACGCUUGUUGUAAAAAGUGCUGUAGAAACAGAUCUUGAAUUCAACAAAAUUCUGCCAAAAACUCACCCAAAGCCGCCUAUAAUAAAUAUAUGAAAUGAUCUCUUAAAAACAUCAGCCGUCCAAAAUUAAGUUUAAAUUUAACUUAAAGUUGCAGUUUUUUUGUUCAUUUGUUUUGGGUUUUUUAUUUCCCCUCCUUUUUUAGCACUUUGGAAAGUUUGAACUGCCCUUUUACAAAUAAACAUGUAAUGAAUAAAUUUGCCUCCUGAAAUCUUAACUAAAUCUUCAAAUACAUGAUUUACAUGUAGAAUAAAGGCUUUUACUCUUUGUUUACAUUACAAAUGUUUGUUAAAUAAAACAGUAAUAGGUGA